GGCUAAAAUCUAAAGUCAUUCCAAUAGAUUAGAGGCAAAACAUAUAGCAAAUACAAGAAUCUACAACCAAGUUGUAAACAUAGCAUACAUAAAUUUGAUGGUUACAGUAGUGAUGGAAAUUCAAAAACAUUUCAUGCAAUCAAAGAAAACUUGUCCAAAAGCUAAUAAAUUGGAACUUGUUAUAUGAAAACUAUGAAGUCUUUUACACAUAUUUACUCACCAUCAGCUCAAGAAAUUUUGAAGAUUUUGUUUGUGACCUAUAAUCUUAACCACUAGUGGCUAAAAUCUAAAGUCAUUCCAAUAGAUUAAAGGCAAAACAUAGAGCAAAUACAAGAAUCUACAACCAAGUUGUAAACAUAGCAUACAUAAAUUUGAUGGUUACAGUAGUGAUGGAAAUUCAAAAACAUUUCACACAAUCAAAGAAAACUUGUCCAAAAGCUAAUAAAUUAGAACUUGUUAUAUGAAAACUAUGAAGUCUUUUACACAUAUUUACUCACCAUCAACUCCAGAAAUCUGGAAUUAAUAAACGAUAAUG
rnacentral:lncRNA from 1 species